rnacentral:lncRNA from 1 species
GGAACAACAGAGGCCUGUUGUUGAAACCACAUCGUUUCCAUCACAGUGGGGAAAAAACAAGGUCAUUGUGGGCUUGCAGCAUUGUUAAGGUUUUGAGCCUGCCCCAAUUAUUUUAUUCAUGUUAAAAUUUAAGGAGAUGAGAAACAUAUUGAAGAGAGGACAGAAGUUAAUUUACAUCUGCCACUUCCCCCUCUGCAAUAUUUAAAUGCCUGUCACUCUCCCACCCCUUUUAGCUGAAGGGGGAGUCCUUUCAGCCAAGCCCCCUCCCCCUCUACUGUUUUUUCUUUUUUUUUUUCAAUUUGUUAAGAUGCUGAAAUCUGCUUUGUGUGAUUUAUGAAGGAACUUGAAGCGAUUAGUUUCACAGUGCAUGAAAAUUCCUCAGGUUCAGGGGGGAUGGCCAAUCUGUUACACUGUUUGCCGUGGACUGGAUGGGAACUUGAGCAGCUUGGAGCCAUAAGGAGAUUGUGUUGAGUUAUUAAACACUUGUGGUAAAGCUGCUUAUUGUUAAUUCCCUGAUGUCCUGCUGAAUCGAUAGGAUAAAAUCAGAUCGGAUUAGAUCAAAGAGCCUGGGAGCCAGCCUUUGGAGCAGAUUUAUUUAGUCACUAAAGAGACCUCCUGAGAGAGGGGGAGAGAAUCUGGGCAGUGCUGGUAGCCCGGGGAUUAAGAUGGGAGGGGGUGGGAAGUGGUGGGAAAGAAACAACAGUUUAUACAUCUGCAUUUCCUCUUCUUAUGGAGUGUAAUUCUCUGAAAUGCUUUUAGCCACCUUCAAGAAAGGGUAUAACCAUUUCUUUAAGAUUUCAUUACUCCAAUAUUCUAUGACUCCAAUAAUGCCACUACAGACCAGGAGGCUAUUUUAAAAAACAAACAAACAAAACAAAACAACUUCAGUUCCAUGAAAUGUAUUUCCACAAAAGCAAUUUAGGCUUAAAUGAUUCCCCAAGAAACAUUAAUCCCUUAUGAGUUAAUCUGCAAAAUUUCCUACAGUCCCUUUGUGAGGAGAAAUAAUGGAGAAACACCAAAAGGCCAAAGUCUAGCUCCACCCCCUCUUUGUAAUCCCCCCAUGCCCACCUUCCAACCCCCCUCCAAUAAUUAUAGAGCAUUGUAUAUUAAGAGGUAUGAUGUGGCUCCCUUCAUCCAUGAUUAACACUUAAGCUGAAGCCUAUUCAUUCAUCUCUUAGCCCUACCCAACCCUGCUAAAAUGCGGAUUUGCCAAUAAGGAAGUGACACCCAUUAGAAAGUUAACCAUGGAAAAUGAGGGAAAAAAAUGAAGGAUAGAGCAAAUUAAGAAUGCGAGUCCCUCAAUGGUUAUUGACCUUAAUGGCGUUAUAAAAAUGAUGUCGGCUUUUACCAGGAAUAAUUUAUAUUCUGAAUUAAAUAAGGAUAUGUAUCUAUAAAUCUAUUCUAUAAAACUUAAUUUUCCAUCUAGAUAUGCUGAUUACUCCGGGCCGGCAUACCUUUACCCGUUGUUAAUUACUGCGGGAUGGUUUAACACUAUUUUCCAAAUCAGCAUGCAUGCAUAAAAUGACUGCAAUCCAAUUUGACACAUUAUUAAUGAUGAUUAUUGUCAUAGAUAAAUUAGAUUGAACAGAAAAUAACCUUCAUCCUUAGCAUGUUUUAGCUCUCAGAAUUAAUAUGAUUUGGUGAACACAUAUAAAUAAAAAUCUGAUGAGUCCCUGCUGACUACAGGGCCUACUGGUGCUGAAGUAUAUCAAUUUCAUGCAGAUGAUGAAUUCCUUAAGCAUUCAAUGAUAAUCAUGCUUGAUUUGACAAGACUUUCUCAUGCUAUUUUAGGGCCUUAAUUUUCUGUGAAGUUCUGUCAAGUGCUCAUCAAGCACCCACUUAUCUCCAUAUCUUAACCUGCAGCCAAUCACAAGGUUGCCUAACAGUAGAGCUACGGAGUGCCAGUCCAUUAAUAGUCAAGUCACGUGACUGUCCAAAGAGAGAAACCAAUCAAUGGCUGAUUAACAUUCAGGUCACAUGACUCCCAGGAGAGUAAAUGAGUUACACAGUAAGACAUCAAACAAAUUUUCAUCUUGAAAGAGUGAUUGCUUUUUCUGCUGCUGUGAUGUUUGUCAAAUUUGCUCUAGCCUUGUCCAAUUAAGCUCCAUGAGCUGAAUUAAUAAUGAAGAGAUGUAAGCACCGUGCCAGCAUGAGAGCUGCGAGCGGUGCCACGGAAUAAGAACUGCUAAAAAAAAAUUCUUAGAAUGAUUGAAAAAUCACAUCUGGAUAACUGGAAUAAUUGCUUUUGCAAUCUUGAUGCUGUUUUGUAAUCUCUAGUGCAAAGUGUGAAACCAGAGUAUGCUGGGACAUGGCACUGAGUUGGCGUUAGACUUCAAAGACGAAUGUGGCUUUGAGUUUAGAAUGAUUUUAAGGGCAUUAUACAAAUACAUGUUAAUUGGAUUAUUGUUUUUGACUGUAGUAAUGAAUUUCAUUUGCACACUCAAUUAUGUUCUGGGGCCUCCUAGAGAUAGAAUCUCUCAGAAUUGUUUCACCUCUCAGAAGAAGGUAAGGAGAUUAUUCUGUAUUCCUAUCUUCUGGGUGAAGAAAGGACCGGACCAAGUACCUUAGAGUGAAUUUGAGUGUCAUUGUGAAUCGGCUGUGUGGGUUUGUACUGUUCAUUUUAUUAAUCGUCAGAGGUCAGUAAAUUAAAUUCACUGAAUUAUUUCAAAAAGCGCAUGUGAGCCCAGGGAGAAUUUUCAGAAAAAGGCAGAUGCUAUCUUGCUGUUAAUAGCCAAUGACAGCUUUCGUGGAGUUUCAGAGUAAGUUCUGUUCCAUCACCAAGUCGAUUGCAUUUCAGCACAGAUGCACUACUAAAUUCAGGUGACAUAUUUAGAAUAGAGACCCUAUGACUAAUAAAGCUUUCAUUCCUUCCCUGAAGGGAGUGAGACUUGACUAAUGGUUUAUUGGCAUUAUCAGAAAGUGUCAAAUCCCACUUAAUAAGUUCCAGCAUGAAAUUAGCUAAAUUCCCAAAGGCCUUUCUGAAACAAUAUAGUCAAAUAAAAGGUGUUGGGCGUGCUGGAAAGAGUGUUAAAACCAGUUACUUGGAAGUGAGGAGAAAAUAAAUCUAACUGUAGGCAGGAGGCAAUGUUUAUAUAUACAGUUAAUAACCUUCUUAAUGGGACUUCUUGGCUAGGUGAUUCCUGUAUGCGGGAGGAAAGUGAGAUGUGGAACACAGGGUAGGCGAAGGGCCAUAAGUCAAUUCCCAGCACUGUUAGUCAAGGAUAGAAAUUGCAAAGAGAGAAGCAAUGGAUUUUAAAACCCCAGCAAGCAGAGAGUGGAAGGAGAGAUGAAUUGUGCAUUUGGACUGGGAGGAAACAGAACUGGAAGGGAAUGGUUGAGAGUCCACGCUGAACCAUGCUGAUGUAAUUAAAACUGACUUAGUCCAAAGAACAGGGGACUCCACCACUCCCUGAGAGUCGUUUUCGCAGGGAGCAUGAGGCCUAAAAGAGGGCAUAUUAUAGAAACGGUAUUUGUUUGUUUGUUUUAAAAAAAGCAAAAGUUGGGAUCUCAGCCACUAAGGUUCAAAUCCAAUAUCAGAGACUUAUGAAAACUCAGCUUUGGGUUGCUCUGAAAAGACCCACGGUACCCAAGGUAAUGUAAAUUUACCAGAUAUUCUUCUCCUGAAUAUUUUACCCCAAGACUUGCUUUGCAGCAAACUUGCAGCCUGGAGUUCUGCUUACAUUCAACUCACAUGCAAUGGAGCCCCUUCCUACAAGUACCCCCAACUUCCUGACACUUGAGAGCCAUGGAAUGGAAUGGAAGGUGGCUCCAGUUGUCCUCAGUCAGCUUUCCUGGGCUCUGAAUAAAAGACUAUUCCAGUUUCUGCAUAACUUUACAUAAUUAAUAGUUUUCCAUGCAAACUAUUGUUUGCCUUAAUUGUUGUUUCAACAGCUGUUUUCAUUAAAUUGUAAAGCCCGCUGUGUCUAAUCCUUUGAGCCCUGCUAUUGAUAACAAGAACUGCUCUGAAGCUUGCUCUGGAGGAAGAGUUCCUGCCAAGCUGGAAAACCAUCCUGAAGUUACUUGAAACUCACGCCUACAGUGGGGCUGGUUGUGUAGCUAAUCCAUUAGGCUUUUCAAAAGAGCCAUGCUCUGUACCCUUAUGGCCAAAUUGACCCAACAACCAAUCAAUGCCUUUAUUUGCUGAGUGGCUGCCCCUGAAGGGUCUUAUAGCUGGGUCCAAGUUUUAAUCAAAGCCUCCAUCAGUACUGGGGCCUGAUGACAUAAAUGGCCAAACUUUCAACAAACUUUCAACGCGGCUGGCCAGAGUCCAGUCACACCAUUUUGAAGAUACAAAGAGGCUGUGUUGCACGGUGGAAUUCAUUUUCUUGUUUACUUCCUCCAGCAACAAGAGCAUCAUCAGCACACUCAGUGCAUCGUAUCAGACUGAGGAGCUGUUGACAGAAGCUUGGCGAGGUUUGCCAGCUUUCCACAUGAAACGCUGGCUUUCUUCUCAUACACCCCCUACCGUUUGUGUCUCUGCCAAUUGUAGCACAUCAGAGCAGCCAUUGAGAUAAUGACCGUGAAGUCUCAUGAUACACUUUGAUGAAGUGUAACAUUUUUUAAAGGAUUUUUGUCUGUGCCAAAAUGAUCGACACAGCUGACUAAAAAUUGCCCCAUCAAAAUCAAGGCUGAUGAACAGCAGGCAGAGGCAUGAGUCUCCCCAGAGAAGAUGGGGAGGGGGGAUUUGCAGCCAAAGUGUCUUUCUUUCCUUGUCUUUUGUGCACCAGAGUCCUUUGUUAAAAAGUCGUCUUUGUUUCAGAUGAAUGUAUGUCAGUUGCUGAUACUUCAGGCUCCAAUGUUUUUUAAUUCUUUUUUUCCCCCUUCUCGCAAACCCCAGAAGAUAUAGGCACAGAUUCCUAACUGACAGUUCCUUACUAAUACCUCAGAAAACAUGUUGUUAAUAACUUCAUAUUGGUUGAAGAAAGCAUUCUGGGUACUUCCCAGGUUUUCAGUCACAGGCUGGUCCUAUACUAGUUAGUGUCCAUGUAACUUUGGAUUAGUUUAGUUUGGCUAGGACUGAAAAAAAAGUUACGCAAAAGUGGUUCUGAGCCAAUGAAAAAUAAAAUUAACCUGCUGUGAGUUUCUUUGGAAGAAUAAUGAUGUGUUUAAUUUACUGCUUGAACUGUUGUGAUUAUCAUUCAUUUCACACCUUCUGUCACUCAGAGAUCGCACCAGGUGAAGUGAUUUAGUAUUCACAUUUGCGCCUCUGACCCUCAGAACGACUCCAUUCAUAGGUAAGGAAACCAAGACCCAAAUGAGGAAGCUGAGUGCUGGAGAUGUUAAGUAACUUGACCAAAGUCAAAGAGUCGGGAAGUGGGAAGGCAGGGUCUGACCAGCACUCUUGCUUAGGAGAUGUGUUCCCUUUCUGCCUGUGGUCACUGUUUCCAUAGUACACCUGAUGUGGCUUAUUAAAUGGGGCUUAGUGGGAGAAGAGAAAAUGAUUUGUGGUUGAAUUAAUA